rnacentral:rRNA from 1 species
UACGAAGGGGGCUAGCGUUGCUCGGAAUCACUGGGCGUAAAGGGUGCGUAGGCGGGUCUUUAAGUCAGGGGUGAAAUCCUGGAGCUCAACUCCAGAACUGCCUUUGAUACUGAGGAUCUUGAGUUCGGGAGAGGUGAGUGAACUGCGAGUGUAGAGGUGAAAUUCGUAGAUAUUCGCAAGAACACCAGUGGCGAAGGCGGCUCACUGGCCCGAUACUGACGCUGAGGCACGAAAGCGUGGGGAGCAAACAGG